AUACAGAGGGUGCAAGCGUUAAUCGGAUUUACUGGGCGUAAAGCGCGCGUAGGUGGCUAAUUAAGUCAAAUGUGAAAUCCCCGAGCUUAACUUGGGAAUUGCAUUCGAUACUGGUUAGCUAGAGUAUGGGAGAGGAUGGUAGAAUUCCAGGUGUAGCGGUGAAAUGCGUAGAGAUCUGGAGGAAUACCGAUGGCGAAGGCAGACAUCUGGCUUAAUACUGACACUGAGUUGCGAAAGAAUGGGGAGCAAACAGGAUUAGAUCCCCUGGUAGUCCAUGCCGUAAACGAUGUCUACUAGCCGUUGGGGCCCUUGAGGCUUUAGUGGCGCAGCUAACGCGAUAAGUAGACCGCCUGGGGAGUACGGUCGCAAGACUAAAACUCAAAGGAAUUGACGGGG
rnacentral:rRNA from 1 species